rnacentral:tRNA from 1 species
GCCUCCGUGGUGUAAUGGUCAGCACACUCGGGCUAUUCGAGAGGUCCGGGGUUCGAGUCCUGGCGAGGGCA